rnacentral:rRNA from 1 species
CGACCGGCGCACGGGUGAGUAACGCGUAUGCAACCUGCCUGAUACCGGGGUAUAGCCCAUGGAAACGUGGAUUAACACCCCAUAGUACUUUUAUCCUGCAUGGGAUGUGAGUUAAAUGUUCAAGGUAUCGGAUGGGCAUGCGUCCUAUUAGUUAGUUGGCGGGGUAACAGCCCACCAAGACGAUGAUAGGUAGGGGUUCUGAGAGGAAGGCCCCCCACAUUGGAACUGAGACACGGUCCAA